UUUACGGAGAGUUUGAUCCUGGCUCAGGACGAACGCUGGCGGCGUGCUUAACACAUGCAAGUCGAACGAUGAUG
rnacentral:rRNA from 1 species